GGAGUUUUUCCUAGCCACCGUGCUUCUACACCUGCAUUGCUUGCUGUUUGGGGUUUUAGGCUGGGUUUCUGUACAGCACUUUGAGAUAUCAGCUGAUGUACGAAGGGCUAUAUAAAUAAAUUUGAUUUGACAGUUUAAGACACAUUUUAUUUGCCUUAAUUACUCAAAUAUAGACCCAGCUUUCAUUUGACAUACUCCUAUGAACUUCACGUUGGUGCUUGUGGCUCCUUUUACCUAAUGUGAAAAGGCUACUUCUAGGCAGGAAGCCUUGUUCUAUAGUAAGUGAACAGGGCCAGGACUUGGAAGGCUAGGUCCUGACUGACAAGUAUUACAUCACUUUGGGUCCAAGGCUGCAGUGGCCUAGUUUCACAGUACUGUCAAGGGGUUAACACCUAGUGACGUUCCACACACACACACACUCAACACAGACACACACCAGAACGUGACCAUGUCCAACAGACAGGAAUAACAGCAGGUGACCAUGUCCGACGGACAGGAAUAACAGCAGGUGACCAUGUCCGGCGGACAGGAAUAACAGCAGGUGACCAUGUCCGGCGGACAGGAAUAACAGCAGGUGACCAUGUCCGACGGACAGGAAUAACAGCAGGUGACCAUGUCCGGCGGACAGGAAUAACAGCAGGUGACCAUGUCCGACGGACAGGAAUAACAGCAAGUGACCAUGUCCGACGGACAGGAAUAACAGAAAGUGACCAUGUCCGGCAGACAGGAAUAACAGCAGGUGACCAUGUCCGACGGACAGGAAUAACAGCAGGUGACCAUGUCCGACGGACAGGAAUAACAGCAGGUGACCAUGUCCGACAGACAGAUGGACAGGAAUAACAGCAGGUGAUAAUGCCUGCAAAAAUGCUGCUCUGGUCUUCUACUCCCCCUCAUCCACUUCUUAAAACACUAGGUUCCACGAAGACAAGGAAAUAACAUAUAGGUGGUUGAAUGGACAUAUACGUAGGUACAUGUCAACAUUAUCAUAUAGGUGGUUGAACGGAGUUCUACCUGUGUGUACAUGUUCAUAUGCAAGUUUGUCAGUGUGCACCUGUGUACAGAAUGUGUGUGUGCGCGCGUAUACACAGUACGCAUGUCUAGUGUGUGCAUAUUCCUACCUCCCAGGUCCUUCUCCUCCUCCUCCAGCUCCUCUUUAAGUUCCUGUAGUUUGCCCAGAGGGUGCAGAGCGGGCACCGUCACCCCUGGGAUCUGGGGCAGGCAGCAUGGAGGAGUCCGGGCAAUGGGAGAGUUCCGACAGUCCAGCAGGAACUUCCUGUCGUAGAUGAUGCGUGUUCCUGUCGGGGGGUAUUAGCUUGGUGGUGCAAAGGGGGUGAAUGCAUAUACACGCACCACUUUUCCUUUAAGAAUUUUUUUUAAACAAGUUAUUUUAAUUUCACCAAAUUGGACUAUUUUGUGUAUGUCCAUUACAUGAAAUCCAAAUAAAUGACAGGUUGUAGUGCACCAAAAUAAGAAAAAACACUAAGGGGGAUGAAUACUUUUGCAAAGCACUGUAGGUCCUGGAUGUCAGGAAGCUUGGCCUCAGCGAUGUACUGAGCCGUAUGAAAGACCCUCCGUAGCAACCGGUCAGUGCAUGCCCUCCGUAGCAACCGGUCAGUGCAAUCCCAGAACAUAUUCCAGUCUUUGCUAGCAAAACAGUCCUGCAGCGUAGCAGCCGCAUCACCUGACCACUUCCGUAUUGAGCGAGUCACUGGUACUUCCUGCUAUAGUUUUAGCUCGUAAUCAGAAGGAUAGAAUUAUGGUCAGAUUUGCCAAAUUGAGGGCGAGGGAGAGCUUUGUAUGCAUCUGUGUGUGGAGUAAGUGGUCAAUAGUUUUUUUUCUCCUCUGGUUGCAUGUGACAUGCUGGUAGAAAUGAGGUUAAACGGAUUUAAGUUUGCCUGCAUUAAAGUCCCUGGCCACUAGGAGCG
ensembl:lncRNA